rnacentral:miRNA from 1 species
AAGAAUUAUGUUGGUGCAAAAGUAACUGAGGUUUCUGCCAUUACUUUUAAUGGCAAACACUGCAAUUACUUUUACACCAAUCUAAUAUUU